GGAAGUAAAAGCGUAACAAGGUUUCCGUAGGUGAACCUGCGGAAGGAUCAUUAUUGUAUAACCGAGGUGCGAGGGCUGUCGCUGACCCGAAAGGUCGUGCACGCCCGAGUGCCCUCACACACAUCCAUCUCACCCCUAUGUGCACCACCGCGCGGGUCCCCCUUGGCUUGUUCGGAGGGGGGCUUACGUUUUCACACAAACUUUGUAUGCAGUGUAGAAUGUAUUUUUUGUUUUUGCGAUCACGCAAUCAAUACAACUUUCAACAACGGAUCUCUUGGCUCUC
rnacentral:misc_RNA from 1 species